rnacentral:rRNA from 1 species
UACGAAGGGGGCUAGCGUUGCUCGGAAUCACUGGGCGUAAAGCGCUCGUAGGCGGACUCUUAAGUCGGUGGUGAAAUCCUGGAGCUCAACUCCAGAACUGCCUUCGAUACUGAGAGUCUCGAGUCCGGGAGAGGUGAGUGGAACUGCGAGUGUAGAGGUGAAAUUCGUAGAUAUUCGCAAGAACACCAGUGGCGAAGGCGGCUCACUGGCCCGGUACUGACGCUGAGGUGCGAAAGCCAGGGGAGCAAACGGG